ensembl:piRNA 21ur-8907 ncRNA
UAUUAAAAAACAAAAACAGGA